CACGUAGGGUGCAAGCGUUGUCCGGAAUCAUUGGGCGUAAAGAGCUCGUAGGCGGCUUAGUAAGUCGGGUGUGAAAACCCCAGGCUCAACCUGGGGACGCCACCCGAUACUGCUAUAGCUAGAGUCCAGUAGGGGAGUGUGGAAUUCCCAGUGUAGCGGUGAAAUGCGCAGAUAUUGGGAGGAACACCAGCGGCGAAGGCAGCUCGCUGGGACGUUACUGACGCUGAGACGCGAAAGCGUGGGGAGCAAACAGG
rnacentral:rRNA from 1 species